rnacentral:lncRNA from 1 species
CAGGCAUGGGAAACCAUGAAGCAGAAAAAUUGCAGGCUGGUGGAAAAUGACUUUGGGCCGUCAGGACCUGGACUACAGUCCAAACUUCCUUUGGAAAAAGACUGAGAGGAAUUCUUCUGAAGUUCCUUGUUUGACUGUGGCCACUGUCUCCCUGGAGAAUGGCACUCAUUUCAGAAAGAAGAGAGACUUCUAGAUAAAGCAGGUGAUGCUGGCUUCAACCAAAUUCAAAAACAAGCUGGAGAUAUACAAGUUGCUAAACCAUC